rnacentral:rRNA from 1 species
GACGAACGCUGGCGGCGUGCUUAACACAUGCAAGUCGAACGGAAAGGCCCUGCUUGCCGGGUACUCGAGUGGCGAACGGGUGAGUAACACGUGGGUGAUCUGCCCUGCACUUCGGGAUAAGCUUGGGAAACUGGGUCUAAUACCGGAUAGGAGCCAUCUUUAGUGUGGUGGUUGGAAAGUUUUUUCGGUGUAGGAUGAGCUCGCGGCCUAUCAGCUUGUUGGUGGGGUAAUGGCCUACCAAGGCGGCGACGGGUAGCCGGCCCGAGAGGGUGUACGGCCACAGUGGGACUGAGAUACGGCCCAGACUCCUACGGGAGGCAGCAGUGGGGAAUAUUGCACAAUGGGCGCAAGCCUGAUGCAGCGACGCCGCGUGGGGGAGGAAGGCCUUCGGGUUGUAAACUCCUUUCGCUAGGGACGAAGCUUUUUGUGACGGUACCUAGAGAAGAAGCACCGGCUAACUACGUG